GACGAACCGAGCGAACGUUGUUCGGAAUCACUGGGCUUAAAGGGCGCGUAGGCGGGUGCUCAAGUCCGUGGCGAAAUCCUCCGGCUCAACCGGAGAACUGCCUCGGAUACUGGGCGUCUCGAGUGUGGUAGGGGUAUGCGGAACUAUCGGUGGAGCGGUGAAAUGCGUUGAUAUCGAUAGGAACUCCGGUGGCGAAGGCGGCAUACUGGACCACCACUGACGCUGAUGCGCGAAAGCCAGGGGAGCAAACGGG
rnacentral:rRNA from 1 species